rnacentral:tRNA from 1 species
AGUCUUGAGGUGUAUAACAUGUUGGAUUGCAAAUCCAAAGAAGCAAAUUGACAUUUGCCGGGGCUUCACCCC